rnacentral:rRNA from 1 species
GAUGAACGCUAGCGGCAGGCUUAACACAUGCAAGUCGAGGGGCAGCGCGGGAUAGCAAUAUCCUGGCGGCGACCGGCGGACGGGUGCGUAACGCGUGAGCGACAUGCCCGUUGCCCGGGGACAACCGGUGGAAACGCCGACUAAUCCCCGAUGGGAUAUUGUGCCGCAUGGCACGAUAUUGAAAGUUACGGCGGCGACGGAUUGGCUCGCGUCCGAUUAGCUGGUUGGCGGGGUAACGGCCCACCAAGGCUGCGAUCGGUAGGGGUUCUGAGAGGAAGGCCCCCCACAAUGGGACUAAGACACGGCCCAUACUCCUACGGGAGGCAGCAGUGAGGAAUAUUGGUCAAUGGGCGGAAGCCUGAACCAGCCAUGCCGCGUGCGGGAAGGAGGCCCUAUGGGCUGUGAACCGCUUUUGCCUGGGGGCAAUAAGGGCGUCGCGCACGUCCGAUGAGAGUACCAGGCGAAUAAGCAUCGGCUAACUCCGUG